UGAACGCUGGCGGCGUGCUAACACAUGCAAGUCGAACGAGGGUUGCUGGUUGAAGUUUCGGAUGGAAACCGGUAAUUCCUAGUGGCGGACGGGUGAGUAACGCGUGGGGAACCUGCCCCGCUCCGGGGGAUACCAGCUGGAAACGGCUGUUAAUACCGCAUAAGCGCACAGUAUCGCAUGAUGCAGUGUGAAAAACUCCGGUGGAACGGGAUGGCCCCGCGUCUGAUUAGCCAGUUGGCAGGGUAACGGCCUACCAAAGCGACGAUCAGUAGCCGGCCUGAGAGGGCGACCGGCCACAUUGGGACUGAGACACGGCCCAAACUCCUACGGGAGGCAGCAGUGGGGAAUAUUGCACAAUGGGGGAAACCCUGAUGCAGCCGACGCCGCGUGAGUGAGGAAGUAUUUCGGUAUGUAAAGCUCUAUCAGCAGGGAAGAAGAUGACGGUACCUGCACAAGAAGCCCCGGCUAACUACGUGCCAGCAGCCGC
rnacentral:rRNA from 1 species